rnacentral:lncRNA from 1 species
UUUCACUUGCAGAAACUGGAGUAACUUGUGCGGCUGGAGUUGCAUGUAUGAAAGUCUUGGAAACCAUGGGAAAAGUCUGAAUAAUUGCUCGGUUGCAGCAGACUUUGCAAAAAAGAUGAAGUGGGGUCCUUUGAAGGGUUUGGAUAUCUGUGGAGGUUUUGGUGUGUCUGUGGGGGGAGAACUAAUGUUGGUGAAAAAUUCUGAAGUUGUUUCUUUCCUUUUAGAAACUCUACAAGGAAAUUUUGAUUUUAUGCAGAUCCCCAUGGGUACAAAUUUGCAAGGUUUUUCAAAAAACUUAUCA